GGAAGCAGAACACCCUGAGCGCGAGGAGAGCAGCACUUUGGGAGAGGGGAGCAGCACCUUGAGGGCGAGUGUGUGUGUGGUGGGGAAGCAGGACACCCCAAAGCAGGGAGGGGAAAACAGCACCGUGAGGGGGGAGAGGGGGAGCAACCCCCUACGUGGCAGUGAUUGUGCAUUUUAUGGACAUAGUGGGUGCACUAACCCUAAGCAUGGCCUUGACCCACCCAACCCCUGGUACUUCAGCCUGAGACCUGAAUAUUUUGAUUGGUUCAGAGGCAUUUAGCAGUAAACUCUGUGGUUUUCUCACAUUGGCAACUGCCUGGAAUGGGGCCUUCCGUCUCUUCUGGAACAUAGGCUAGAACUGGACUUGUAUCCCCUCUGCUCUCACUUAGGAGCCACUCCAUGGAAGCAGGAAUGAAACUGUUGUUCUCAUGCUCUGGUGCAGUGCAAGGGCCUCUUUUACAGUUAACCGGCUGUACCCCCUUGGUGGUAUACUUUAUUCCUCUCCCCAGAGCUUGCCUUAUGUGUGUCCAAGGGGUGAGAAAGAGAGAAAUGUCAGAAGAAGUUGGGGCUUCCAGGAGCCCCUCCUCAGCAGCUGGAGGUCAAGUCCCCUUUGUGCACGAAGAACUGUGUGACUGUGAUUCUGUACCUGCCAAGUGUAAAUGUCCAGCAGCUCCAUCACCUCCUGUACCAGACAAUCCCCAGCUGCAGUCCAGAGCUUCAUUGGACUCUAUAAUCGGGGAAGGAUGUAGAAUUCAAGUGUCUGUUAUUCUGCCUGUUCACAAUUCUGAAUGUUGGUUGGAUGAAUGCUUGAAGUCAGUUGUGGAGCAAGAUUUUGAAGGUACCAUGGAGUUGUCUGCGUUUAAUGAUGCUAGUAAGGACAAUUCAAUUAAUAUAAUUGAAAAAUGGAAGCUCAAGUUGGAAGAUGUGGGUAUUCGGGUUGUCAUUGGUGGUCAUGAUUCACCUCAACCCCAAGGAGUUGGCUUUGCUAAAAACCAAGCAGUAAUACAGAGUUCAGGGACCUACCUCUGCUUUCUGGAUUCUGAUGAUGUGAUGAUGCCACAGAGGGUGAGACUGCAGUAUGAAGCUGCCAUUCAGCAUUCAAAUAGUAUUAUAGGUUGCCAAGUCAGGAGAGAGCCAUUGGAUUCAACUGAACGAUAUACUCGUUGGAUCAAUAAUCUGACACCUGGACAACUUCUUACACAGGUGUUUACCUCCCAUGGACCCACUGUGAUCAUGCCUACCUGGUUCUGUUCCCGAGAAUGGUUUUGUCACGUGGGCAAAUUUGAUGAGGGUGGGAAGGGUGUUCCAGAAGACUUGCUGUUCUUUUAUGAUCAUAUCCGAAAGGGUGGUGGAGUCUUUCGAGUUGACCAGUGCCUCCUCCAGUAUCGCUACCAUCCACAGGCAGCAACUCAUUCUGUUCUAGAGGAAACCAUCUGGAAUCACCGAGUCAGGUUUCUGGAAGACAGAGCCCUCAAGCACUGGACAUCUUUCACCAUUUGGAAUGCUGGCAAACAGGGCAGGAAGCUCUAUAGAAGCUUAUCACCAGCUAAUCAGAAAAAGGUAGCUGCAUUUUGUGAUGUUGAUGAAAAUAAGAUAGCGAAAGGUUUCUACACUUACCAAGAAUCCAAGGAGAGACGAAAACCCCAAAUUCCCAUACAACAUUUCAAAGACGCAACCCCACCUUUCAUUAUCUGUGUAAAGUUGGAUCUGACAGGUGGAGGAUUUGAAGAAAACUUGGCCACACUAGACUUGAAAGAGGGACUGGAUUAUUAUCAUUUCAACUGAACACUGAGCUCAGUCUCAAACUCCAGUUUAUCAAGAUGCUGCAGCACAGAUCACUUCCUCCUUCAUGACGCAAGUGCCAGAGAGCUUCAGUUUUCAAAGCAACAGAGAACACUGACUGCUUUACUACGCUGCACUCUACAUACAGGAAACAAAAAAAGAAGAACUUAUGAAAUUCCUUUUAGCUGAGGUCAUCCUUCUGCUGACAUUUUCUUCUGAAGAAGAAUGAAGGGCAAAGCAUGCGAGGUGUUGAUGGAUGACCAGGUAGCCAUUUUACAGAUUUUUGUUCUGGCUGCUGACUAUGGAAGCAUUGAGUAGGCUCCAACCUCUUCUGCUGAUGAAUGUGCUUCAGCAACAGUAUUUAAUCUAGCUAAGAAUGGAUGAUUUUAGAUACUUUCAAGCACAUGCAUGUGACUUACAGGGAGAAUAAAAAUGAUGUUUUACUAAGCUAAUUGAGUCUAUUAAGGAAUACUUGAACUGCUCUUCUCAGAUCUGCCACAUGCAUUGCUUUUGUUUUUCCCAAAAUCUCAACACCAAAAGAAAAAGAAUUACGCUAGAGUCAUCUGUACUCAAGAUUAAGACCAGCCUUGUCCUCACAGAAGAUGCAUUAUGGGUAGUAUCUGAGAAUGAAGAUUUUGAAAACUCUUCUAGCUCACGUGGUUGCAACGAAGAAAUAUAUCGUUAUGGAAAAGGAAUAAAAUGCCAUAAGUGUGAUUGUGAGAGUCUUUGCAUUGUAGACAGAUUCUAGCUAGGGAAGAGGUUUGACUGCUGGUUGGACACAUAUGCUACUCUGUGGAACCUCACUACCAUUUGGUUAUGUACCUAGAAAUGUAGAUGAGCUAGUGUGUUAAAUGCAAUAGAAAGAGGUUGCAGGCCAAGUCUAGGCCAUCCUCUAAGAAAGUGGUUCUCAACCAGGGGUAUGCAGAGGUCUUCUAGGGGAUAGGUACUUGCCUAGUUUUACAAAAGGCUAGAUAAAAAGCACUAGCGACAUCAGUGCAAACCAAAAUGUCACAGAGACAAUGACUUGUUUACGCUGCUCUAUAUACUAUACACUGAAAUGUAAGUACAUUAUUUAUAUUCCAAAUUAUUUAUUUUAUAAUUGUAU